CCUAAUCGGUGAACGUGUGUCUUUAGUGGGACCAGGAGGCAAACGGUGGCCGCUGGCCGGGUGACUCACUACUGGAAGUUCCACAUGCCUCCAGAGGUCUAGGUGGGGUUCUGUGGGGCUGGCACGUCUCUGUGGUCCACCUCGGUUUCAGCUGGCCCUGUGAAGAGUGGCAAUGGGUGAAAGCACAUAUUCUUGCAGUCAGUGAAGGGAGCAGGCUGCCCUGGGAGGGCGGUGCCUAUAAACCACGUUGUGUCACUUAAUGAAGAAUGGAUAGCAGGGUGACCAGAGAAAGUCCACUUCCUUCAGUGCGGUCUCCGUUCUCCAGUCCACGUUUGUCAAGUUCUCGUCUCUGUGUCUGUGCACCAAAGGGACAUAACCAAAUAUGCUGUGUCUACUUGGUUGAAGUGCGUGAUAGAUCUUUCUGUGACGGCACCUUCUUCUCUGUGUGACCGAGGCUGCUGGUGAGCAGAUUCUGCUUUUCUCAGACCAUACUGGCCAUUGGAGGAGGAGAAGCAUCCCCCAAAGUGUCAGCAGAGGACAGUGAGAAGUUGGCUUAGGGUCAAGCAUUUGCCUUGAGUAACCUUAGAUGGAUACUCCUAUGGAUCAUUUCAGAUCUGAGUUCUACUCGUAGAAAUGCCAGCAAGCACCCCAGGGCUGGUGCCUGAAUUUUUAGCUCUCAGGACUUUUUUUUUUUUUUUUUUAUGCUUCAGUAGGCCAGGACAAGAAUAAGCUACUUAAUGAGGAAAGAGAACAAAUUACCGGAAAGGAUUGUGCAAGCUAAAAGAGAGAAGCAAGCCUUUGGAACUCUAAGCAGGAAGAGACCUGAGCAGUUGAACAGUCUGUAAAUUCAAAUGAGGAGAAAGGCA
rnacentral:lncRNA from 1 species